UCCUCCCUCUGGCGGCGUGCUUAACACAUGCAAGUCGAACGGAAAGGCCCUGCUUUUGUGGGGUGCUCGAGUGGAGAACGGGUGAGUAACACGUGAGUAACCUGCCCUUGACUUUGGGAUAACUUCAGGAAACUGGGGCUAAUACCGGAUAGGAGCUCCUGCUGCAUGGUGGGGGUUGGAAAGUUUCGGCGGUUGGGGAUGGACUCGCGGCUUAUCAGCUUGUUGGUGGGGUAGUGGCUUACCAAGGCUUUGACGGGUAGCCGGCCUGGGAGGGUGACCGGGCACAUUGGGACUGAGAUACGGCCCAGACUCCUACGGGGGGCAGCAGUGGGGAAUAUUGCACAAUGGGCGGGAGCCUGAUGCAACAACGCCGCGUGCGGGAUGACGGCCUUCGGGUUGUAAACCGCUUUCGCCUGUGACGAAGCUUGAGUGACGGUAAUGGGUAAAUAAGCACCGGCUAACUACGUG
rnacentral:rRNA from 1 species